UCUACCCCUACUUUCUGCCAGAGCGAUGGUGGCUGAGACGCAGCGGAGUGGAGGUGUGACUGCCUGGCUUAGAACAGGACAUGUUAGCUGCAUUUAACCUUAAGUUACUCUUUAUAUAGUUAGGUAGGAGUCAGACCAUGUUUCUUUUUAGCUGAAAAACAUUACACCCAGGUAACCUGCAGUGUUGAAAACGUGUUUUCUGUCACGUCCGGUGUGGCAGACGUGUGGAGUUUGUAGAAAAGGACCCAAAAUGCGGCAGCUCUGGUGCAGGUGAGUAUUUAUUGAAAGGAGUGGAAACAAACAGCGAUGGCGGGGGAACAUGAAACUGGAACCUAAACUGGGCAGAGCUAACAAAACAAACCUGAACGAAGAUGCAGGGAGGUACGGGGAAAUACACCGAGAGGCGGACGGAGAGACGCAGGAAGAGCGAGGUGAACAACACAGACGAACCAGCAACGAGGACAGUUUGGGGAGAGUAACCGUGACAGAGCCAAGAAAGACAUUUGCACCCUGCUGGGAGUCAUGACUGCCCGGCAUUACCUGGGGCCUGGUCUUCUUCUCUUUUGGAUACCUGAACACUCCUGGUCUCUACCUCUUCUGCAUGCUGAACUCACUGCAAGGUUUCUUCAUCUUCCUGUGGUUUAUGAUGUCACUGAAAAAGGCUAAAACCGCAGUUACUAAGACAAGCAGUGAAACACGUAGCACCAGCACCUAGCUUACACACAACUACCAAUACCUCAAGAAGUGCCUUUGUGUGUGUUUUUGGAAUGUAUAAUGUAAUAUAAACCUAGAAACAUUCUUUAUUUUUAAGCUCAGGUAUAACACAAUGUAUAAGAUAAGACAACGACUGAGACUAAAGAAUGUAUGUGAAUGUAUUAAGUGUGAAGAUUUUAAAAGUUCCACUUUAGUUUGAAGUUUUCUUUGUAUUUCAAUAAACAAAAUGUUUGUGGCAAGGGGUUUAUCUUUCCACCAGAGCAUGUAAGAUAUGAUAACGCAUUUUUACAUUUUUCACUGUUGGGGCACUUCUGAGAGUGAAAAUUGAAAUAAUGAUGCAGUAAAGAAAGUCCAGAAAAAGUGGAAGACAGACAGUAGAUCAACUGUCUCUUCUCCACCUGCUUUCAGAGAUCAGAGGUAAAACAACAGAAAAUUGCUGUUUUGUCACAUAUUCACCAGUCUGCAUAUCCGAUCUAGGUUUUAAAUGAAACUCAUCUUGCAUUAGUUUAGUUUUUUAAGGCGCUGUUAUGUUGACUGCACAUACAGUGUUUAGCUUUAUUGUAACUGAACUGGUUUGAAAAUUAUUUUAUAUUAAAGCACAUUGUGAAUCACUAAA